rnacentral:rRNA from 1 species
UACGUAGGGGGCGAGCGUUGUCCGGAAUCAUUGGGCGUAAAGCGCGUGUAGGCGGCCAGGUAGGUCCGCUGUGAAAACUCGAGGCUCAACCUCGAGAUGUCGGCGGAAACCAUCUGGCUAGAGUCCGGAAGAGGAGAGUGGAAUUCCCGGUGUAGCGGUGAAAUGCGCAGAUAUCGGGAAGAACACCCGUGGCGAAGGCGGCUCUCUGGGACGGUACUGACGCUGAGACGCGAAAGCGUGGGGAGCGAACAGG